UACAGGGGGGGCAAGCGUUGUUCGGAUUUACUGGGCGUAAAGAGCUCGUAGGCGGUUUGUUGCGUCGGCUGUGAAAACCUGAGGCUCAACCUCAGGCCUGCAGUCGAUACGAGCAGACUAGAGUGUUGCAGGGGAGACUGGAAUUCCUGGUGUAGCGGUGAAAUGCGCAGAUAUCAGGAGGAACACCGGUGGCGAAGGCGGGUCUCUGGGCAACAACUGACGCUGAGGAGCGAAAGCGUGGGGAGCGAACAGG
rnacentral:rRNA from 1 species